AGGUAAGGGUAAAGCAAAGGCCGAGGGCGAGGAUCGUUCCACUUAGCAGUCGGCCGCAUUGGGCAUUUCUGUCUUUUGUCUAUUCCUCUUCCCUUCUGUGAGCGCACUCGUUCGGAUAGACCGGGUGGUUGGGAUAUCCGGGCGGGGGUGCUUACAGUGGUUGAUGAGAGGUGGAUGACAACGGCAAUGUAGGUGGACAGGAUGAUGGCAACAACGACGCAUGUUGAUACUAAGAGAGGUAGAUCUCAACGAAAAUGAACAAAGGCGGAGCCCAACUAAGACGAUGAUGCAACUGGAGACUAAGAAAGGCAGAUCUCGUCGGAGACGGAUAAAGAUGGAACUGAAUUGAGACAUCGACGCAAACAAAGACUGAGAGAUGCGGAUCUCGAUGAAGACAUAUAGAAACAGAGCUUGAUAGAGAUGACGACAAAUAUGUUGUGCAAGUAAAGGUUGACGAAAAGUGAUAGAGAAAGAGAGAGGUGGAUCAACGCAAGCGGAGAAAGGAAAAGCUCGAUGGAGAAAGGUAGAGAGUGUAUUACUUUUUCUAAAAAAUGAUUUUCUUUUGGGAACUCAUUUUUCACAUUUUAUCACUUGACUUUUCUUCGAUUGAAAAUGACUUUCCUUUGA